rnacentral:rRNA from 1 species
UGCCAGCAGCCGCGGUAAUACGGAGGAUCCAAGCGUUAUCCGGAAUCAUUGGGUUUAAAGGGUCCGUAGGCGGCUUUAUAAGUCAGUGGUGAAAUCUCCCGGCUCAACCGGGAAAUGGCCAUUGAUACUGUAAGGCUUGAAUUAUUAGGAAGUAACUAGAAUAUGUAGCGUAGCGGUGAAAUGCUUAGAGAUUACAUGGAAUACCAAUUGCGAAGGCAGGUUACUACUAAUGGAUUGACGCUGAUGGACGAAAGCGUGGGUAGCGAACAGGAUUAGAUACCCUGGUAGUCCACGCCGUAAACGAUGGAUACUAGCUGUUGGGAGCAAUCUCAGUGGCUAAGCGAAAGUGAUAAGUAUCCCACCUGGGGAGUACGUUCGCAAGAAUGAAACUCAAAGGAAUUGACGGGGGCCCGCACAAGCGGUGGAGCAUGUGGUUUAAUUCGAUGAUACGCGAGGAACCUUACCAAGGCUUAAAUGUAGAUUGACCGGUUUGGAAACAGACUUUUCGCAAGACAAUUUACAAGGUGCUGCAUGGUUGUCGUCAGCUCGUGCCGUGAGGUGUCAGGUUAAGUCCUAUAACGAGCGCAACCCCUGUUGUUAGUUGCCAGCGAGUCAUGUCGGGAACUCUAACAAGACUGCCAGUGCAAACUGCGAGGAAGGUGGGGAUGACGUCAAAUCAUCACGGCCCUUACGCCUUGGGCUACACACGUGCUACAAUGGCCGGUACAGAGAGCAGCCACUGGGUGACCAGGAGCGAA